rnacentral:rRNA from 1 species
AUGAACGCUGGCGGCGUGCCUAAUACAUGCAAGUCGAGCGCACAGACGAGGAGCUUGCUCCUCUGACGUUAGCGGCGGACGGGUGAGUAACACGUGGAUAACCUACCUAUAAGACUGGGAUAACUUCGGGAAACCGGAGCUAAUACCGGAUAAUAUAUUGAACCGCAUGGUUCAAUAGUGAAAGACGGUUUUGCUGUCACUUAUAGAUGGAUCCGCGCCGCAUUAGCUAGUUGGUAAGGUAACGGCUUACCAAGGCAACGAUGCGUAGCCGACCUGAGAGGGUGAUCGGCCACACUGGAACUGAGACACGGCCCAGACUCCUACGGGAGGCAGCAGUAGGGAAUCUUCCGCAAUGGGCGAAAGCCUGACGGAGCAACGCCGCGUGAGUGAUGAAGGUCUUCGGAUCGUAAAACUCUGUUAUUAGGGAAGAACAAAUGUGUAAGUAACUAUGCACGUCUUGACGGUACCUAAUCAGAAAGCCACGGCUAACUACGUG